rnacentral:misc_RNA from 1 species
UCUCCGUAGGUGAACCUGCGGAAGGAUCAUUAAAGUUAUAGCCCCCCGGCCCCUCCGGGCUGGGGUCUUCUAUACCACCCUUUGUUUAUUACACCUUUGUUGCUUUGGCAGGCCUGCCCUCGGGCUGCUGGCUCCGGCCGGCUCGUGCCUGCCAGAGGACCUAGACUCUGUUUGUAUAUGAAGUCUGAGUACUAUAUAAUAGUUAAAGCUUUCAACAACGGAUCUCUUGGUUCUG